CAUUCUAGGAAAUAUUCCCCAGAAACCAGCGCAAACUCCUCUCUGAUAUAUCAUAUGUUUAUUUAUUAUUUAUUUGCUUAUUACACACAUAUAUAUCAAAAAAGGUCCCCAAGUUUCCUGCUGGGAGAGUUCAUUUAUUCUGUAUGCAAAGCGGGGAAAGAGUGGGGAGAGGGGAGAGAAGGAGGUGGGGGGGAGGGAAAAAAAAUCAUCCCCAAGUAUAACAAGAGACGAACAGUUAGUGCUGAUUUUCAUUUGCAUAAAUUUUCAUAUAUUUUAGUGAAAAUAAUAGCGGGAGCAGAGCGGCGCUCCUGCUCAGUCGAGGCGGAGGAAAGAAAAUCUGAGGGAGCAGCGAGUCGCCGGGAAGGGAGAUAACCGCUUCCACGCUCCGUGGGAGCAAACCCACGCCACAUCCUUCACUCUGGGACUGAAGGAGACCCUCACAAGCACCAAACKUUGGUUCCUCCUCGUCCCCGGUGCAGAACCUGUGGGGAUCUGACAGGGUCCUGCGUGCGGAGGACGACCUCGGAAAAGAACUCCUGGGUUUAAUUCGACGCAUUAGCUGCAGUCACACUCCAGCGCCGAGCACAAAUCUCUAAAUCUGGAGCAAAUUCAGCUCCUUUAAAGCACGGAUCAUCUGCGAAAUGUUGAUUUUCUCAAGACGGACAAGCGUCUCUUUGAGGACAGAUGGACAGACAGUGAACCAACAGCCAAACAUCGGGCUCUUUAAGACAGCAGAGCUGCGAUCCAGCCCUUACUGUCAGGCACUUCCUGUAAAUAUGUUUUUAGGUGUGUUUGCAAAUACGAAUGCCAGCGAGUUGACAGGAGCAGCGCGGCGGCGGCGGCAGGAACACAGAGAGAGAAACCCCACGGAGCCGCGGAUUUAAAAAUAUCUGCCCCCCGCCACCGCCCCCACCCAAAGAGGAACGAGGGAAGAAAAGCAGCAGUUCGCCGGCACAGAUUGGGGUGAAUUUGUCACAGCAGCAAAAACUAAAAAACACGUUUCACACAGUGGCACAGUCAAGUUUCUAUCAACAAAAAGUAAAAAAAAAAAAAAAAAAAGACGGAAAAAAGGUGUGUGGAAAAAAAAAACUCGGUACACACUUUAUGCUUUCAUUGGAUGUCACAGGGAAAUAGUUGUUUGCUGCUGAAACAAGUUUCUGUGAGCACAACACCAGGUAGGAAAGACAUCAGCACUGACCUCUGGGUGUACACAAAGAGGAAGAGGAAGAGGAAGAGCAAGCAUCUCCAUGGAGAAGAGGGAUCAACAUGAAUGAAGCAACAUGAUGAAGAAGAGUGAACAAAAUCCUCCUCGUGAUGAAUUAAGGGYGGGGCAUCCAUGGGAUGUACUUACUUUUUCCACACAAACGUUCUCCCGUUUUAUCGUUAUCUAGUAGAUAACAAUAAACUGUAGCGUGCUGCCAGUUUUCGUACACUCGAUGCGAUUGUUUUCCCCUCUUGUCGAACUGUUAAAAUACAGCAGGGUGUACUUUYUUUUCCAAACUGGACAGUGAUCAGUGUGUGGAAGCAAAUGUAACCCAGAGCAGGAAGUGACCGCUAGUUAAGAUGAAGCUUCCUCCACGCGUCAGCCUGAUCUGCCAGACAGCCAUCGAUCGGGCUGCUCGUUAGGAGAGCAAGGCCGGCCCGGAGGAUGGGUCCUGACACCGUUAACACCAUGCUCUUUAACGAACCACCGUCAGCGGAGCGGCACCCCGUCAUCGACCCCGCCGGCCCACCGCGGACYCCUUCCUGCUUGGCCGGGACGAGAAGAGAGCCGCGGCAUGUGGCGCUAUCGAUCCACAGKCAGCAAUUUGUUGCCUUGGAAACAACUGAGCAAAGAAAUACAGAUUAAAUACAGAAAUUUGAAAGAGCAUCAGUUGAACCAGACUCAGUUUUCAUCCGGAAGUGGCAGCACAAUGUCAGGACGGGAAACCAACAGCAAUGAUCUUCCUAUUGUUUUUGUGUUGGACAGUUGUUCCUAAAUGCUCUAUGUAAAUAAAUUUGAUUCAUUAAAAAAAUAACCAGUUUUUACAUCCAGAAAAUCCAGAUGCUUUCAUCCAAUCAGACAGACAGCUUCAGUUUGUGUUUCUGGUUUUCACUGGACAGUUGUUGGUUGUUGAAGUUCCACAGCUCUUUGCUCUGGACCAAUAACUCCAACAUGAAUGUAACAUGAUCAGAUUUAUGAGGUAUGAUUCCACAAAGCCGAAACAUUUAGACGGUGAACAUUGCAGCAACUUUAACAGAACCGUUGACAUUAGAGAUGAACUUAUUGACGCCAUAUUUCCUUGAACGCAAACCUAAACAUGUAAGCUAGCAGCAGCCGCCGCCGCGCAGGUAGCGGCKUCGUUGGCGGCUCGUUUCCUUCCUCGGGCGUCUGACCGUUUUUCCGCCGAGGCGUCUUCACAGCCAGGCUUGGCAGAGACUCAAGUCGACCGAGGUGGAGUGGUUGGAUGCYGGAAGGCCGCUGGGGAAACACUGCUAGCUUUGCAGAAUGAGCUGCUGCUUCAUGACUGCCGUCAUCUGAAGGCAUUCAGAGAAAUAUCAUUAGCUGUGCUUAUCAGAUUAGCUAGAGAGAGGGAUUA